CAACAGUGGUUUAUUUAACCACAGAUACAGUUCAUUGCAGACAUUUGCACCGUAGGUUUCUUUACAAUUCACCUCAACGCUACAGAGAACAAGCUUUUGGACUUUAUGCAGACGAAGCCUUGAGUUAAAUAGAAGAAAAAAAGCUCAGGUGGAGUGGUCAUUUUUCUGUUCUUAAUACUGGAGUACAACACUGCCGAUUACCAUAGUGGGGUCAACCACCUUCAAUGUAUGAUACAGUUAAAGAAACAAACUCACUGUUUAAGUCCCUGAAAAAUUGUAUUUUUAUUUCUAAUGGACCGGUAUUAUGACCUGUAAAAGUAUUUUUGUACAAAUUUAAUACUUUGGUAGCAUGAUAUUUAUCGUCUAUGUAUAACUUUGGGAAUUCCUCCAGCUGUAAACCUUUGUAUGGCCGAGAAAAGAGAAACAAUAAAAAAAGAUUUACAGAGUGGAAAAACAACAUGGCUGAGGUAAUUUACAGAGUGAAUAAACAACACCAUGGCUGAGGUGAUUUACAGAGUGAAUAAACAACAACAUGGCUGAGGUGAUUUACAGAGUGAAUAAACAACAACAUGGCUGAGGUGAUUUACAGAGUGAAUAAACAACAUGGCUGAGGUGAUUUACAGAGUGAAUAAACAACAUGGCUGAGGUGAUUUACAGAGUGGAAAAAUAAACAACAUGGCUGAGGUGAUUUACAGAGUGAAUAAACAACAUGGCUGAGGUGAUUUACAGAGUGAAUAAACAACAUGGCUGAGGUGAUUUACAGAGUGAAUAAACAACACCAUGGCUGAGGUGAUUUACAGAGUGAAUAAACAACACCAUGGCUGAGGUGAUUUACAGAGUGAAUAAACAACACCAUGGCUGAGGUGAUUUACAGAGUGAAUAAACAACACCAUGGCUGAGGUGAUUUACAGAGUGAAUAAACAACAUGGCUGAGGUGAUUUACAGAGUGAAUAAACAACAUGGCUGAGGUGAUUUACAGAGUGAAUAAACAACAUGGCUGAGGUGAUUUACAGAGUGAAUAAACAACAUGGCUGAGGUGAUUUACAGAGUGAAUAAACAACAUGGCUGAGGUGAUUUACAGAGUGAAUAAACAACACCAUGGCUGAGGUGAUUUACAGAGUGAAUAAACAACAUGGCUGAGGUGAUUUACAGAGUGGAAAAAUAAACAACAUGGCUGAGGUGAUUGCAACAUACUGAUGAAAGGAUCACAAUCUCAUCUGAGGCACUUGAUCAAUAAAAUGAUACAAGCC